GGUUUGAUCCUGGCUCAGAUUGAACGCUGGCGGCAGGCCUAACACAUGCAAGUCGAGCGGCAGCGGGAAAGUAGCUUGCUACUUUUGCCGGCGAGCGGCGGACGGGUGAGUAAUGCCUGGGGAUCUGCCCAGUCGAGGGGGAUAACAGUUGGAAACGACUGCUAAUACCGCAUACGCCCUACGGGGGAAAGGAGGGGACCUUCGGGCCUUUCGCGAUUGGAUGAACCCAGGUGGGAUUAGCUAGUUGGUGGGGUAAUGGCUCACCAAGGCGACGAUCCCUAGCUGGUCUGAGAGGAUGAUCAGCCACACUGGAACUGAGACACGGUCCAGACUCCUACGGGAGGCAGCAGUGGGGAAUAUUGCACAAUGGGGGAAACCCUGAUGCAGCCAUGCCGCGUGUGUGAAGAAGGCCUUCGGGUUGUAAAGCACUUUCAGCGAGGAGGAAAGGUUGG
rnacentral:rRNA from 1 species